CUUUUGCAUCAUGAUUUAGCUAGAAAAUCUCAAGCAAAGAGCACUUUAGUUUGAUUCCCCGAAACUACGUGAGUUACUCCAAGACAGCCUAAUAAUAGGGCAAACCCGUCUCUGUGGCAAAAGAGUGGGAAGAGCUUCGAGUAGAGGUGACAGACCUACCGAACCUAGUUAUAGCUGGUUGCCUGAGAAAUGAAUAGAAGUUCAGCCUAUCGGAUUCUUCCCUCACCUCUGUUUUCCUCCCCCUGACAGCUUAAAGAAACCGAUAGAGUUAGUCAAAGGGGGUACAGCCCCUUUGACAUAAGACACAACUUUCCCAGGAGGGUAAAGAUCA
rnacentral:rRNA from 1 species